CAAGGAAUUUUCCCCAAUGGGCGCAAGCCUGAGGGAGCAACGCCGCGUGGAGGACGACGGCCUUCGGGUUGUAAACUCCUUUUGCGGGUGACGAUCGUGACGGUAGCCCGCGAAUAAGCCCCGGCUAACUCUGUGCCAGCAGCCGCGGUAAGACAGAGGGGGCAAGCGUUGUCCGGACUGACUGGGCGUAAAGCGCGCGCAGGCGGUUCGAGGCGUCGGUGCUGAAAGUCCACCGCUUAACGGUGGGAUGCGUGCCGAUACGCUCGGACUGGAGGGUGGGCGAGGGUGGUGGAAUUGCCGGUGUAGUGGUGAAAUGCGUAGAGAUCGGCAGGAACACCAGUGGCGAAGGCGGCCACCUAGCCCGCACCUGACGCUCAAGCGCGACAGCGUGGGGAGCGAACUG
rnacentral:rRNA from 1 species